UACGUAGGGUGCGAGCGUUGUCCGGAAUUACUGGGCGUAAAGCGCUCGUAGGUGGUUUGUCGCGUUGUCCGUGAAAACUCACAGCUUAACUGUGGGCGUGCGGGCGAUACGGGCAGACUGGAGUACUGCAGGGGAGACUGGAAUUCCUGGUGUAGCGGUGGAAUGCGCAGAUAUCAGGAGGAACACCGGUGGCGAAGGCGGGUCUCUGGGCAGUAACUGACGCUGAGGAGCGAAAGCGUGGGGAGCGAACAGG
rnacentral:rRNA from 1 species